GUCUCUUUGGAGACAUUAGAUAAAAUUGGAACGAAACAACGAAGAUCAGCAUGACCACGGCGCAAGGAUGACACGCAUAAAUAGUCUUGAGAUGAUGGU